CACAGAGAAAAUGCGACUGACCACUGUGCCCCACCCCAGCCUUCCUCGGUGUGGAUGUUCCCGGAGUGUCCUGAGUGAGGGAGACAGGAGCAGAAGCCAGCAUCCACGCUCCUCGCGGCUCGCGGUCUCUCACUGCACACGAUGUGUAUAAACUCACUGUGCUAUGGCCCCAUUCGCAGUCAGAGACUGGAACUAAAUAUCUACUCAUUUCACCUCUCCAUUCACAAGAAGGCUGCCCAACACCAGGAGCCCAGUCUGACUUGCCGAUGCGAAUCAGCCCAGGUCCCCAGAAGCUGAAGCAAGGGCACCUGUGUGUUUUCUUCGGAGAAUCUUCACCUCAGAUGCAGAGACCAACACAAUCUCUGCUAAUUAAUGAAAAAGAAAGAAAGAAGAAAGAUCUAUCUGCUAGGACUAGAAGCUGGGCAAGAAUUCAGCCUUCUCUGAAAACAUGGCCACGCAACAUGCAAACCAAAGUGGAGAACAACUAACUCAGAGGGGUUGGAGGGUGGACGGAGAGGAACAGAGCCAUAGUCAUCGGGAUAACAUGUCUACCACACACACACAAGGGAGAAUUUGGAUCCUUCGGUCACACCUUACAUGAAAGUAAUUCUAAAUGAGUGGAAGACCUAAAUGGACUGCUUAUUUCACAGCAGGCGGCAGGAUCCCAGGUUUUCACAGAGGAGAGGGUCAAGCUCCCAGCCUGGCUAAUCGCAACAGGCCUUCAGGCAGAUGGAGUUUGAAAUCAGAGUCUUCGGGAAGGCCGCAGGACACCCACUGGACACGGUCUCACAACACAUCCUGCUGGGACUUCAGUAGUCCUCCUCCAGAGAGCAUCCUCGGGUCUUCCCUCCUCCUCCUUCGCCGGUUCUGAACCCCCUCUUCUAUCCCCCACCAAGUGAUGUCUCCCUGAGUCUCCGUCUCACAGCAUGGACAUUCUGGCUUUGGACUUUGGGAGAGAUGUUCCUUGGUCCUUUGGAAUGGGCUUUGGAGUAAAAG